AAUAAAGUGAGCUAUUAAGACGAAUCAGCCAUGACAACCUCAACCAAUGGUGUUUUUUUUAGUGCAGCCCAACGGAAUCAAUCAAAAGGAAACAAGCCUCCUUAUCACUGUAACUAUUGUGGAAAGGAUGGUCUUUUCGAGUCUCAUUGCCGAAUGAAGCCUGGAAAUGCAAACUAUGAUCCAAAUUUUUGGUCUGCAAGAAUCUUUUCAAAACAAAAUCAAAAUGUUUAAGAGCAAGGUGAAUUCACUAAGAAAUAUACAUCUUUUGGUUACAAAACUCAUAAACCUUUUCCAGCUGCAGUCGAUCAAGGCACGCCUAACUCGAGUUCACAAAAUGAUCUUGCCAUUCACUUAGGAACAAAUCCAACAAAUCCUAGCCUUAAUACAACUAUCUUCUAUCAAUCCCUCUAGUCCACUUUUUCAAUUUGGCAGGAUCUAGUGAUGAAGAAGGUGAUAGGUUUGGCUAAAGAGCACGGUGGUCUUUAUUACUUUGACACCAAUUCCAGUAACCUCACACCAAUUUCCCUUGCUGCAAGCACUUCAACUAUAGAUAUCUGACAUUUGUAUUUUGGACAUCCUAGUCAGCAUGUUUGCGAAUAAUUUGUUACCUUAGAUGAUAGUAUUUACUUUUCUAAUAAUAUCCAUGUCUUAUUUGCCUUUUGGCAAAAUGAACUCGUUUACCAUUUCCUACUAGUUCUAUUUCAAUGAAUUCUUGUUUUGAACUUA